UGAUUUUCCAGUCCCUUAAAAUUGACUUUUUAUUCGAAUAUACAAUAUAAAGGAUUUACAGUUUCCUGGAAUGAGCCACACAAACAGAUUCCCAUAUCAAUAAGCUCGAAAGUCAGGAUAUCGACAGGUAUUUGCCAGGGUAACCCAAGGAAUUAGGGGAAAUGAGAUGCAGUAAAUUUAAGUAUUCACGUGCGUGCUCGGCUUCACUAAAUUUUCCAGUAGUUAAAAAUGACUUGCAAUUAGCAUGUUCUGUUAAAGUUUAGACAUGGUACUUGUUCAAAGCAGAGUGAUUAAAUUAACCAAUGUGAUUUGUCAUAUAUUAAUUUUUGGAAAUAAAAACUAUAUGUAAAUAGCUUCUAUUAAACUUAGUGACGCGUCCUUUCUUUCAGUUUGGAGGGUAAAAACACUCUAUUAAUAUAAAAUGAGUUUCAACAUAAUAUUAAUUAAUACCAGUAAAAUCUCCAAGUCUUUCGAAAACAAUUUAUUCCCAUGUCAAAUGCACGAUAACGAUACCGACGGUGCUAAAUGUAGCAUUGGAAUUGCGACAGCAGCCUUGUUUCAGUCUGCAUUCCUGCUGGAGUCUGCCUGCCUGUCUGUAAAUACAUGUAUAUUUACAUUAACGAUUCAAAAAAAAUAUUAGGUAAAGGUCUUCUGAAUGAAUUCCGGAAACAAUUUAGGACUUUGUAGAAGUUCCACUGCAUCGCUUUGGUUGCAGAUAACGCGCCGCAACACCCCAGCAGUAAUGCUGCCGGCUGCAUUACUCCAGGAAUUGUCAAAUUCAAUAUAGAUGAAAACAUUUAUCACGAAAUAAAAUUAAAACGCAAAACGUUCUAGUUGAAAACCAAGACCAAAUGCGGGUAGUUCGAAAAACUGGCGCCGCUAGAAGAUGUUGAUGUCAACUUUAGCCAGUCUUUUCCGAGACCACGGUGACAACGCCGUCAAGGAAAGGUCGGAGGUAAAAUAAUGUGAAACUUAAUUUUACGCGAUUAACUCCCGUUUUAUUAAAUAAUAGAAAUAAAACUAGUUAUCUUUUGAUAUUUAAGGCAGCAAUGCAGUCGUCAGCAAUACUGUGUAGCGCUGAGGUACAGUCUGAAUCGAAACGGUCCAGUCCAGUAAGUACCAAAUCGAUACAUAUUUUCAUCGAAACGGUUUAUUAAUUAAUUAAUAUGUACUUGUAAAAGUGCCCUUUAUUUGCUGAAAAAAUGUUUGAGUUUUGAGUUUUGUUAGCUUUAAGAAAAUGUUAGUAUUUUAUAUUUAAAUUAUCAGAAUUAUCAGUCAGAAAUACAAAGUUUACCAAAAAUGAUUAAUAUUUAGUAUGGAUUAAAAUUGUUAUUAUUGA